CUGUUACACAUUUGGAUCUGAAUUUACGAUUCAUAAAAGUUAACUUCAGUAUACAAACAAAGAACAUUCACCAGAAAUGGAUGAAAUGAGUGCUUCUUAGCUGAGGAGGAUACAUUUAUGGUUAUUCUGUUCACAGAUAAAUAUUGGACGUGGAAGGAGACAAAACAAGACAAUGUCCAUAGAACACAAGAUACAUAUUUUACGUAACCUUCAGUGUGACAACUUCCGUAUAAACAGGUUUGUUCGAUGCCCUCCCAUACGCUUCCUCCCUUCUUUGCGAUGCAUCAUGAGGUGGAAUAGAAAAUCAAUAAGUGCGCGAUAUUCCAAUCUACAGUUCACUUCUUAGUAUUUCACAUAGUUUGCAUGUUUUGCUUACCAUAUUGGUAGAGCAGGAACGAAUUAUUACUGCUGCCAGUUGUAUUGUUGUUGAUUGCGAUUCACAUUUGAGCCACGUCCAGUGCCAGAAGACCCAUAUGGGGCACCGUGGGGAUAAUUUGGGCCUCCAACUCCCCGGGGACCACUGCCUCCUGGCAUUCCUCCUGAACUGUAUUGGGUACCCCUUCCUUGAGGUGGGUAUCGACCACUGCCAUAAGCUCCACCUUGGCCACGAGUAGGGUGACCGUAUCCUCCAGAAGGAUUUCCACCAGCUAAAUAUCUGCCAGGUCCUGCUGGAGGUCCAUGUGGCUUUGCAUAGUGGUGGCUAGGUCCGCCAGCAGCCUGAGGAUGGGAUGCAUGCAUUGGGGGAUUUGGCCCUGGUCUCAUUUGGCCAUGUCCUUGCCCUGACUGCUGAACUGGUGGAAGCCGACCAUGCUGCUGCUGGUGAUGCAGUUUCUGACGUUUAGCUGCUUCCUCAUGCUGCCUCUGCUGCUGUCGCUUUUUCUUUGUCUGGAACUCAUGUGAAGCUUCAUAGGUUGGCAAACUCUUUGGAUCGCACGGUAAUGGAUCAGUCCAGAAAUAUUCAGCAUCAAGUGCAUCCUUGGCUGAUAUUCUCUGAGAUGGGUCGAGGGUGAGCAUCUUGUCAAGCAACUCCAAGGCAUGUCGGUCAAAGUGUCUGAAAACCUCCCUUAGGCGUCUUUUCAAUGGCCUUGAUGGUUUGAAAUUGUUAUACCAUGGAAUCUUUGAAACUCCAGGCCAAUUAACCUCGUCAGGAGAGCCACACAACUCAAAAAUCUUGUUCAGCUGCUCUGGCUCAUCCUUCCCUGGAAAAAUUGGUUUUCCAUGAAGCAGCUCAGCAAAGAUGCAACCAACUGACCACAUAUCAACGGCUGGACCAUACUUAGUGGUCCCAAGAAGCAGCUCAGGUGGUCUGUACCAUAAAGUAAUCACACGAUUUGUAAGAUUUGCAUUGUGAUCAUUAGAGAAGGAUCGAGCAAGCCCAAAAUCAGCAAGCUUCAAAUUGCCUUUGUUGUCAAUCAGAAGAUUGGAACCUUUAAUAUCACGAUGAAGUACUUGAUUUACAUGACAAUAGUGCAGUCCCGUCAAAAGCUGCCUCAUGUAACACUUAAUCUGCGGAACUGAAAAUCUCAUUCCAGGACGAUCAGCAAGCCCAGUCAAAUCAUGGUCCAUGUACUCAAAGACCAUGUAG
rnacentral:misc_RNA from 1 species